GAUGAACGCUGGCGGCGUGCCUAACACAUGCAAGUCGAACGGAGCUGCUUUGAUGAAGUUUUCGGAUGGAUUUAAAACAGCUUAGUGGCGGACGGGUGAGUAACGCGUGGGUAACCUGCCUCACACUGGGGGAUAACAGUUAGAAACGACUGCUAAUACCGCAUGACACAUUGGGGUCGCAUGGCUCUGAUGUCAAAGAUUUAUCGCUGAAAGAUGGCCUCGCGUCUGAUUAGCUAGUUGGUGAGGUAACGGCCCACCAAGGCGACGAUCAGUAGCCGGACUGAGAGGUUGACCGGCCACAUUGGGACUGAGAUACGGCCCAGACUCCUACGGGAGGCAGCAGUGGGGAAUAUUGCACAAUGGGGGAAACCCUGAUGCAGCGACGCCGCGUGAGCGAAGAAGUAUUUCGGUAUGUAAAGCUCUAUCAGCAGGGAAGAAAAAAUGACGGUACCUGACUAAGAAGCCCCGGCUAACUACGUGCCAGCA
rnacentral:rRNA from 1 species